AUGAACGCUAGCUACAGGCUUAACACAUGCAAGUCGAGGGGCAGCAUGGUCUUAGCUUGCUAAGGCCGAUGGCGACCGGCGCACGGGUGAGUAACACGUAUCCAACCUGCCGUCUACUCUUGGACAGCCUUCUGAAAGGAAGAUUAAUACAAGAUGGCAUCAUGAGUCCGCAUGUUCACAUGAUUAAAGGUAUUCCGGUAGACGAUGGGGAUGCGUUCCAUUAGAUAGUAGGCGGGGUAACGGCCCACCUAGUCUUCGAUGGAUAGGGGUUCUGAGAGGAAGGUCCCCCACAUUGGAACUGAGACACGGUCCAAACUCCUACGGGAGGCAGCAGUGAGGAAUAUUGGUCAAUGGGCGAGAGCCUGAACCAGCCAAGUAGCGUGAAGGAUGACUGCCCUAUGGGUUGUAAACUUCUUUUAUAAAGGAAUAAAGUCGGGUAUGCAUACCCGUUUGCAUGUACUUUAUGAAUAAGGAUCGGCUAACUCCGUGCCAGCAGCCGCGGUAAUACGGAGGAUCCGAGCGUUAUCCGGAUUUAUUGGGUUUAAAGGGAGCGUAGAUGGAUGUUUAAGUCAGUUGUGAAAGUUUGCGGCUCAACCGUAAAAUUGCAGUUGAUACUGGAUAUCUUGAGUGCAGUUGAGGCAGGCGGAAUUCGUGGUGUAGCGGUGAAAUGCUUAGAUAUCACGAAGAACUCCGAUUGCGAAGGCAGCCUGCUAAGCUGCAACUGACAUUGAGGCUCGAAAGUGUGGGUAUCAAACAGGAUUAGAUACCCUGGUAGUCCACACGGUAAACGAUGAAUACUCGCUGUUUGCGAUAUACGGCAAGCGGCCAAGCGAAAGCGUUAAGUAUUCCACCUGGGGAGUACGCCGGCAACGGUGAAACUCAAAGGAAUUGACGGGGGCCCGCACAAGCGGAGGAACAUGUGGUUUAAUUCGAUGAUACGCGAGGAACCUUACCCGGGCUUAAAUUGCAGAUGAAUUACGGUGAAAGCCGUAAGCCGCAAGGCAUCUGUGAAGGUGCUGCAUGGUUGUCGUCAGCUCGUGCCGUGAGGUGUCGGCUUAAGUGCCAUAACGAGCGCAACCCUUGUUGUCAGUUACUAACAGGUUCCGCUGAGGACUCUGACAUGACUGCCAUCGUAAGAUGUGAGGAAGGUGGGGAUGACGUCAAAUCAGCACGGCCCUUACGUCCGGGGCUACACACGUGUUACAAUGGGGGGUACAGAGGGCCGCUACCACGCGAGUGGAUGCCAAUCCCCAAAACCUCUCUCAGUUCGGACUGGAGUCUGCAACCCGACUCCACGAAGCUGGAUUCGCUAGUAAUCGCGCAUCAGCCACGGCGCGGUGAAUACGUUCCCGGGCCUUGUACACACCGCCCGUCAAGCCAUGGGAGCCGGGGGUACCUGAAGUGCGUAACCGCGAGGAGCGCCCUAGGGUAAAACUGGUGACUGGGGCU
rnacentral:rRNA from 1 species